GGUCAGGCCCUGCGCAACGCAAGACUGUGAACUCCGCCAGGCCCGGAAGGGAGCAACGGUAAGCAGACACUCCGUGUGCCGCAGGUUCACUUGGCCCCU
rnacentral:SRP_RNA from 1 species